CCUACGGGCGGCAGCAGUGAGGAAUAUUGGUCAAUGGGCGCGAGCCUGAACCAGCCAAGUCGCGUGAGGGAAGACGGCCCUACGGGUUGUAAACCUCUUUUGCCGGGGAACAACGGGAGCCACGUGUGGCGCCACUGAGAGUCCCCGGAGAAAAAGCAUAGGCUAACUCCGGCCCAGCAGCCGCGGUAAUAAGGAGGAUGCGAGCGUUAUCCGUGUUUAUUGGGUUAAAAGGGUGCGUAGGCGGUGCGUUAAGUCAGUGGGCAAAUUUAGGGGCUCAACCUCAUCCCGCCAUUGAAACUGGCGCUCUUGAGGGGAAUAGAGGUAUGCGGAAUGCGUGGUGUAGCGGUGAAAUGCUUAGAUAUCACGCAGAACCCCGAUUGCGAAGGCAGCAUGCCGGCUUCCGACUGACGCUGAAGCACGAAAGCGUGGGGAUCGAACAGGAUUAGAUACCCGGGUAGUC
rnacentral:rRNA from 1 species